CAAUUGUUCUAGUGGCUAUUGAAAUUUGCUCCGUCUAUCUCCAUCACUCACUUAAUGACAACUGUAAGUAAACGGUCUUGCGUGGACAACGAAAAACCCAGCUGGCCGGUUAAAUCCUUCCAUGUAGUGUUGUCAAGUGCCAACGCAUCUUCCACAUCAGCGAAACUCGCUCCUAAACAUGGCUUUAACCUCAAACGACUUCACCUCCACCAUACACGACUUAACAGGCCUCCAUUUUAUCCGAGUCGUGCAAAUUUUCUGAGUUUAUCUUCCCUACCAGCUCAGAUCAUGAAGAACCCUAGGCAUCUUCCCCAGAUUGUUUGAUCCACAACGGCACCUUAAGAACCCUAAACCCCCAGAAAUCGACGAUUCACGAGUGAUGUGAGAAAAUGUUCGGACAUUGUUCUUACUUACAAUGCCCAAUUUUCAAUCAGUAGCCCUAGCCCCCCAAAAAUCGAGUGGCGAAGAAUUAAAUAACGACUCCACCAUUAAGCUACAAUCUCGAAGGCGUGCAUAUGGGAGUUUUAGAUGAAGGUAAUGUCGCAAUGUUUGUGGGAUUAUUCGACUGAUCUAAUAUUUGCCUGGCAACUACGAGGUUGGUCUUGCCUGAAGGUCAAAUAUCAUUUUGCUUGGGAAAUAUUCUUUAUGUUAAGACUUGAAACAGCUAUCAGAAAAAAAUGUAGAUUAUGCAUUAAAGUUUGAUGAACAUGUAUAAUUAGUUUUUCUAACAUUUUUUUAGAAUAUUAAACACUACAUUUAGAUAAAAUCCAUGAUUAGUAUGGAACCUGUAUAUUAUAAUUUUUGUGUGGUCUCACUUAAAUUGAAUGGUAUGGUCCUGUAGUGAGUUGGUCCAAUUUCGAGUUCAUUACACCAUCGAUGUAAAUAUUGAAUAUCUUCAAUGUAAAUAUUUGCUUCUUCAUAGUUACUGUCCAAAUGUUAAUGCAUUCUCAUUUUAUGACAAAGUAUGUGGAUGAUCCAAAUGGAUUCUGAUAAUGAUUUCGAGUCUGAUCAAGACGAUAUGGAAUAUGAUAGAAAUAUCAUCGAUGGGAUUGAAAUGGGAUUUGCUGAUUGUGGAGAUCAAGUUUCGGUUGAUCGGGAAGAUGUGAAUGAUAUGGAGAUAGAUGAUUUGGAAAUCCAUUGUCAGAGGAACUACUAUCCCAAUGUUCAUCUGAUGAGGAUGGUGGGCAUAAAUUUCAUGAAUUUUUGUUCAAUUCGGACACGAAGGACCCACAUUUUGAUGUGGGGCAAAUUUUCUGUUUCGCUACAGAGUUCCGAGAGUCAGUUGGACCUACAAUGCAUUAAAUAAGUAUAAUGUAAAGUUCAGGCGAAUGAGCGAAGUAGGGAACAUGCCAUAUGCACACUGAGAUGUAAAUGGAGGAUUUGGGCUUCAAAGAUGGAUGUGUCAGAGAGGUUGCAAGUGAUAUCUUACACCUUGGAGCAUAGUUGUAGCCGGUCCAAUUUAAUAGACAUUGCAACUACAUACUUUUGACGAAUCGAUAUUAAACAGUUCAAAGCGGACCACAACUAGAAGAUUGAGCUCAUUUUGGCCACAGUGAAUAAGGAUUUGUGCACAGAUAUUAGUAGGAAUGUGGCAUGGAAGAUGCGGAGAUAUGCCAAAGAACCUUCGAUCGGGACUUGGCAAGAGCAGUUAUGCAGUUGCACUCUUAUGCAGUCGAGGUACUACGUACAAACGCGGACUCGACGGUCAUUAUAGCAUUAUAGGAGCAAGUUUUCUAGGGCACGUACAUCUGCUUUAAUUGUUGGAAGAUUGGUUUCAGGAAUGGUUGUAGGAAGGUGGUUGGAGUUGAUGUUCACUUAAGGAGUUGUUUCGGAGGGAUCAUGUUAACUGCAGUUGGAUUUGAUGCUUAUGACUACAUCUGUCCUAUCGCAUAUGCAGUUGUCCAAAAAGAAAAUACACCAACUUGGCUAUGGUCUUUAACCUAUCUUUCAGAAGAUAUUAGAAUUGGACAUAUUAUAGGUUGAACCUUGAUGAGGGACUGACAGAAGGGUUUACAAAAUGUGAUAGCUGAAUUGUUUCCCGAGGCCGAGCAUAGAUUCUGUGUAUGGUAUAUGUACAUGAACUUUUUCAAUACUGGGUACAAGUAAAAAAUUCUUAAGAAUCACUUAUGGCGUGCUGCCAAGUCGACCAUAAUUGCUGACUACAGACAUUGGAUGCUGCAAAUUCGUCGACUUAGUGAGGAAGGAUAAAAUUGGCUAAUGGAAAGUAAUCCAUAUGAAUGGAGGAGAUCACAUUUCUCGGUUCACUCAAAGAGCGACAUAUUACUGAAUAAUUUAUGCGAAGUGAUUAGCAAAACUUAAUGAAGUGAAAGGGAGAAUAUGAUUCUAUCAGUGCUUACCUCACUUCAAUUAGCCUUCAUGACUGGGAUUCGGAAGUGUCGAAACAUGAUGAUGCAUGACGUUUGUGUCUGAAGAUUAAGAAAAAAUUAGAUAAGAUUGUUGAGAAAUCGCGUGAAUGCUUGUUGCAUUUGUCUGGGGGGCUAAAUGGCAAGUUGAUUGUAGUUUUGGGACAUAUGUUGUUGACCUACAAGAGAGAACUUGUACAUGUAGAGAGUGAGAGUUUACGGGCAUACCUUGCAUGCAUGCUGUGGCAGUUAUUAGAGAAUGUAGAAAUGAUUCGGAGGAGUUCGUUGAUAACUGCUACACGAUAAAGACAUAGAUGAGAUGUUAUAAUAGUGUCACGAACCCAAUUGACGGUAUGCGAUUAUGGCUACAGUUGGAUAUGCUUGCUAUCACUCCACCAUUGUGGAUAGUUCCGCAAAAGGGAAGGAGGCAAGUAAAUAGGAAAAAAGGGGCAGACGAAGAGGUGAUAGUACAUUCAAGGAAGAAAACCUACAUUCAGAGAAAGGGACGAUUGCAGAUUACAUGCUCAACUUGUGGGAGGAAAUCUCCCCAAUGGUUACUGAACUUUGCAGAAAAUCCCCUAGGAGAUCACUGAACUUCAAUACGUCCGUAAAUGGUCACUGCACUUUUCUGAAGUCCCCCCAAGAGGUCACCGAAUUUCAAAACGUUCCUGGAUAGUCACUGAACUUUGCCGAAAUUCCCUAGAGAGGUCACUUAACGUUGCAAAUUGGGACCCCAUACAUAACUAAUUUAGUGACCUCCUAAGAACUUUUUGUAAAGUUCAGUGACCAUCCAGGAACAUUUUGAAGUUCGAUGACCUCUUGGGGGGACUUGGAAAAGUUCAGUGACCAUUUAGAGACGUAUUGAAAUUUGGUAACCUUCUAGAUAAUUUUUUGCAAAGUUCAGUGACCAUUGGGGGAGGUUUCCUCCAACUCGUGGCUUACAUGAUCACAACAAAACAAUAUCAUUUACAAAAAGAUGCCUUGUUCGAUGAUUGGUUCGAAGGGGAAUAAGAAGUGGUUGGAAGUGGAUGCAACACAGUCGUGGAUGUACAAAUAAGUACAUGUCGAAUUCAAUUUUUUAUACUUCUACAUAUUGGCUGGAAAGUGUGACUAAUAAUUGAUUACGGUUUAUGCGUAAGGGUAAAAUAAAUGGUUGCACAAAAAUAUAUAGUAGAGCAUGAAUCACGGCCAGGAAGUGUUUGAGCUGGACCAACAGUAACGGUUGGUAAAUCAAACGGGUGACCAUCAAAGUUCACAUGAUAAAUGUGAACUUUGACGAUUGACGACUAGCAUGACAUAACAGAACUGGAAAUCAGGCAAAUUAGGGACGACUAGGGCUUGAGCACGUCGUAGGGUGAAAUUUGCGAAAUCAAAAGAUGCCUAACGACAUCAAUUAUCUUCUUGUUUUUUGGGCAUGACAGAUAGAUAGGACUUUUUGUGCUUGGAGCAUAUGGCGGGUUAUUAUCCUUUUUGUCUUUGGUGUACACGUUUUGGGCAAUGUAGCUAAAAAUUAUCUUGUACACAAGAUGAAAUAUGCACAACGGUCUAGUGUCCAUGUUUUUUAGUACUCUAGUUGGAAAUUGUCUUGUACGCAUAUGAAAUAUGCAUAGCAGAACACUACAAUUUGUUUCAUAAUCUUUCUGCAAAACACUACAUUAUGUUUUGUUCUGUUAAGUUUGAAAUGUGUAUGUUAAUCUUUCUGAUAUUGUAUUGUUUAUAGAUUCAAAAACUUAAA